rnacentral:rRNA from 1 species
UGUCUCUUACGGACUAGCCAAUGAAAUUGAUCCUUCAGUACAAAAGCUGGAAUUAGCCCAUAAGACGAGAAGACCCUGUGGAGCUUCAAAACCAAAAUCACCAAACAUGCUUCAUGGGUUUUUAGUUGGGGCGACUUUGGAGCAAAAAAAACCCUCCAAACAUAAAUCUAUUUAUUAAGACUAACACACCAAAAAAAUAUUAUAGACCCAGCAGUAUCUAUUUACUGKCUGACCAAUGAACCAAGUUACCCCAGGGAWAACARCGCCAUCCUCUUCUARAGUCCYUAWCGACAAGAGGGUUUACSACCUCSAUGUUGGAUCAGG